rnacentral:lncRNA from 1 species
AUGAAGAAGAAGCUUCUCGCUGGGUACAUUUGGUUACAGUUUUUAUGAAUGAAGCUUCGUUGGCUGUUAAAAAAAAUAACAUUCAACCAUUUAAUUUAUUGUAACUAUUUUUUUUAGAGUUAAAUAUGAUUUUAGUCCAUGUGGUUUGGGUCAUUUUGUAAGUUUAGUUCAAAUGUUUCAUUUUUCGUCUGUGAGUCUAAAAAGAUUUCACCGUUGUCAUUUUAGUCCACUGGGUUAACUUUAUCCAUUAUUUCUGUUAACGAGAAGGGCAAUUCGAAGACAAUUUUUAAACUCCAGUUAUAUAAAAUUAAAGAUAAAGAUCUUAGAAACGAUUCAUUAUAAAAAAUCUUA